rnacentral:rRNA from 1 species
GAUGAACGCUGGCGGCGUGCCUAAUACAUGCAAGUCGAGCGAACAGAUAAGGAGCUUGCUCCUUUGAAGUUAGCGGCGGACGGGUGAGUAACACGUGGGUAACCUACCUAUAAGACUGGGAUAACUUCGGGAAACCGGAGCUAAUACCGGAUAACAUUUAGAACCGCAUGGUUCUAAAGUGAAAGAUGGUUUUGCUAUCACUUAUAGAUGGGCCCGCGCCGUAUUAGCUAGUUGGUAAGGUAACGGCUUACCAAGGCGACGAUACGUAGCCGACCUGAGAGGGUGAUCGGCCACACUGGAACUGAGACACGGUCCAGACUCCUACGGGAGGCAGCAGUAGGGAAUCUUCCGCAAUGGGCGAAAGCCUGACGGAGCAACGCCGCGUGAGUGAUGAAGGGUUUCGGCUCGUAAAACUCUGUUAUUAGGGAAGAACAAAUGUGUAAGUAACUGUGCACAUCUUGACGGUACCUAAUCAGAAAGCCACGGCUAACUACGUG